rfam:TPA: Bos taurus chromosome 11, whole genome shotgun sequence.
UCUCUGGUGGUCCAGUGGUUAAGACUCUGUGCUUUCAAUGCAGGAGGCAUGGGUUUAACCCCUGGUCAGGGAA